GUCAUCAGCACCAAGAUUGGCCUCAGCUUCAAGAGAAAAAAAUUUACAUAAACGGAGCGGGCAACAUUUUGAAGAUAUUUUCCUAGGAUUCUGUAACGGCAGCUGCUAUCCUGGAACAAUUGUUACUUCUUGUUAGAAAUUGUAGACUGAUGGCAGCAAGCAACAAGUAAAUCUAUAAGAAGCUGUAGCAGAAGAUGGGGGAAACCCAGCCCAAAUUAUGAAAUAACUCUUCAAGGAGCAAAAAAGCACCAAGAAGGGAAAAUAAAUUCUUCAUGCACC